rnacentral:lncRNA from 1 species
GCAAGUUCUACUGGUUCAGUUCACUGGAGGGAGGUUUUCAAUUUGAGUAUCCAGCCCUCAGUGUAGUUCAGCUGCGGCUCCUACGACUCCAGAGCAACAGAGCAGAACAGAGAGUAACUUACUCCUGUUACCCUGGACACCGACUGGGCCAGACACAGCAACAGGUCCAGUUCCUCACAGACUCCGUGAAGCAGAGCUAUUUAGGAGAACUGCAGGAUUGUGUGUCUGCGAAGGAAGUGGAUCCCGGACCGCGUGAAUCUGUGUUUCAGUUUGAGGGCAUGGACCUGCUUCCUCUACGUGACAUAGGAAUCUUGGGCAACAGCAGCUACGAGUUUGGCUUCACAAUCGGCCCUGUGUGUUUCCGCUAGAGACACCCUGAAUGAUAACGCUACAUCCUGUGCAUUUAACCUUAAACACAAGCAACAAAGAGAAGAUAACAGGACACUCUGAAGACACAUGUGGCAUCUACGGCUCGUGGUAAAGGAAAUACUCUAGACAGUGUCCUGUCUAUCCCGGUGCUGCCAGACAAACGGACAAUAUCCUUUUUUUGUUUACAGGGACUUUUGGCUUUGU